AGAGAAGAAUGAGAGAGAGAGAUGGAAACGCAGGGAGAUGAGAGAAGAGGGAAGGGAGGGAGGUGGAUCUCGGAGAAACGUGUUGCUCAAUAGUGUGUCUGUCUUCAAUGAAGAAACACUGAAAUAACAAGUUUCACCAGUUUCAGAUCACUAACAGCGUUGACUGCAUUAUAUAGAGACACAGACGAUUUGCUCCUCGAGUCGAGACAUGGAGAGGACAGAGAAUAAAGAGUCCACCAUCUCCCCACAAAAACAAACAGUGAAAAACAGAUCCAAGUCAACUGAAGAAGUGCAGCAAGCCAAAAAGGCCUUUCAUACACCACAAAAAUCUCUGCCGGCCAAACCAGAGACCGAACAACUAGAGGAGACGGCAGAACUGAGUGCCUCAUCACAGGAGUUUAAAUGAUUGCCGGAUUCAAACUUCUGAGCGCUGAGAUUUAGAGAGAUCGACUGGGAUUAUGGGUCAAAAACAAGAGGAUGAUUCAAUGUCUUUAUUCAUGGAUUUGUGAUUCCGUUUAGCUAGCAUAGUAGAAAAGGAAUAAAAUAAUUAUGUGUAACUUCUUGACUUUGUAUUAGUAUUAUGUUAGUGAAAUAAAUGCAGAACUAGAUAUAACACA